CGAGUCAGUCACAUCGCCGGAAAAGAUUCAAUCCAAUAAAUCACCCGCACAGCAAACCAGCUGCCGCACCACAAUUGGAUUUUCGUGGUAAAAAUAAAGUCGGCAAACUUCAAAAAUUGGAGGGUAAUAAAGCUGACAAACUUCAAAAGCUAGAGGGUAAAAACGAAUUGGGGCAGCAACAAUGAUUCACACAUCAUAAGCAUGGAUAAAGCUAUAUUCGGAGAUGAGUAUGAAGGACUACUUGAAAAAGAGCACAUAUACGAUGA